AUCCAGCUCGCUGUUCGUGAGCCAGCUCGUGUUCGGCUCGAAAUGAGCUUGAGAUCGACUCGUUCGUUUAGUAAACGAGCCGAACACAAACUGGAUUUUUCAUCUCAUUUAACAAACGAGCAGCACACGAGCUGGGGUCAGCUCGCUCGUGUUCGACUUGAUAACAGCUCGAAUACAUAUAUUUUAUAUUUAUAUAAUUUAUUUAAUUUAUAUUUUUAUAUAUAAAUAAAUAAUUAUAUUUAAUAUAUAUUUUUAUUAUUUAAUUUUUAGCAAAAUAAAAAUAUAAAUGCGAGUUUAAUUAUAAAAAAAACUCAUUUAUAUGUAAAGUUUCAACUAUUAGAUCAAAGUUUAAUGAAUAAGAUUUUAUAAAUUUAUUUUUUAUAUAUAUUUAAUCUAUUUUUUUUUUAAUUUAUUGUUCGUUGGCGAGCUCGUGAGCCAGCUCGUGCUCGGCUCGUUAAUAAACGAGCUGAACACGAGCUGAAUUUUUCCGCUCGAUAUUUUAACGAGUCAGCUCGUGUUCGGCUCGUUUAAUAAACGAGCCGAACACGAGCCGACCCCAGCUCGCUCGUGUUCGGCUCGUUUACACCCCUACCU
rnacentral:lncRNA from 1 species